rnacentral:rRNA from 1 species
AGCGAACGCUGGCGGCAGGCCUAACACAUGCAAGUCGAACGGACCCUUCGGGGUUAGUGGCGGACGGGUGAGUAACACGUGGGAACGUGCCUUUAGGUUCGGAAUAGCUCCUGGAAACGGGUGGUAAUGCCGAAUGUGCCCUUCGGGGGAAAGAUUUAUCGCCUUUAGAGCGGCCCGCGUCUGAUUAGCUAGUUGGUGAGGUAAAGGCUCACCAAGGCGACGAUCAGUAGCUGGUCUGAGAGGAUGAUCAGCCACAUUGGGACUGAGACACGGCCCAAACUCCUACGGGAGGCAGCAGUGGGGAAUCUUGCGCAAUGGGCGAAAGCCUGACGCAGCCAUGCCGCGUGAAUGAUGAAGGUCUUAGGAUUGUAAAAUUCUUUCACCGGGGACGAUAAUGACAGUACCGGGAGAAUAAGCUCCGGCUAACUCCGUGCCAGCAGCCGCCGUAA